GACGAACGCUGGCGGCGUGCUUAACACAUGCAAGUCGAACGAAAAGAGGGAAAGAGCCUGCUCUUUCCGGAAUUGAGUGGCAAACGGGUGAGUAACACGUAAGCAACCUGCCUUCAGGAUGGGGACAACAGACGGAAACGACUGCUAAUACCGAAUAAGUUCCAAGAGCCGCAUGGCCCAUGGAAGAAAAGGUGGCCUCUACCUGUAAGCUAUCGCCUGAAGAGGGGUUUGCGUCUGAUUAGCUGGUUGGAGGGGUAACGGCCCACCAAGGCGACGAUCAGUAGCCGGUCUGAGAGGAUGAACGGCCACACUGGAACUGAGACACGGUCCAGACUCCUACGGGAGGCAGCAGUGGGGAAUCUUCCGCAAUGGGCGAAAGCCUGACGGAGCAACGCCGCGUGAGUGAUGACGGCCUUCGGGUUGUAAAACUCUGUGAUCCGGGACGAAAAGGCAGAGUGCGAAGAACAAACUGCAUUGACGGUACCGGAAAAGCAAGCCACGGCUAACUACGUG
rnacentral:rRNA from 1 species